ACAAAAAAAAAAAAAAAAAAAAGAAUGCCAGAAAAUUUGGGGCCACUAUAUGGAAACAGAAGGUUUUAGGGAGUGGAACAGGAUAAAGGGAAGAAAUGUACAAUAGGAGAGAGGUCGCAUGAAGCCCUGCUGCUUUUCUAUCCAUUUUGCCCAGGCCAGCUCUGCUACUAGGAAUAAAUCCACAGGCCAAAUUAUUCAGAAUCACGUGUACUGGGCCAGAAAUGCAUUAUUUAACUUUUUUGCAGGAGAUGUACUUUUUAAUUUGGUUUUAUUUUAGCCUAAAAUUACAAUAUUAAAUUUUAAUAUUCAAACAUUAGCAUGAGUUUGCACUCCCUGAAAGUCCACCCACCUCUUUCCUCCAGCACAUGCAGAAUGACAGUAGAGAAGGGCCAGACACAGGGAGGUGGAGAGAGGGCUGAGGCUGCUACUCCUUUCCCUGCACCAGAGUGGGUCAUGUAUCUUUGAACUCACCACUUCCCUUCCCUGGGGCUCAGUUACUUCCUCUGCCAAAUGAUGGAGAUGACCUAGGAGUUCUUUAAAGUGUUCUUUCACAUAUCGGCUACAUCGCCAGUUCCAUCUCCUGCCAUUUUCCCACUGCUUCCUCACACACCUACACCGCCGCGUUGCUUGGAUUCACUCACUCUCGGACUCAUCUCUCUCACAACUCUGGCCCCUCUGAGCAUCCCUCGGCCAAGAAGAGCCCUUUCCUCGUUCACUAUCUGGCCAACGCUGUAUUCACCCGUUUAUUCUCCACCAGAGCAGUAGCAUAAGCCUACCACAUCUGGGAAGCCCUCUCCUGACUCCCAAGCCACAGUAAAAGCCCUCUUUCGCUAAGUCCCAAGGACCUGAGAAAAAUCACUACCAUUUAAUGAUUAGAGGGAGCUGUAAUUGUUUGGCCUUCUGUUUGCUCCCUAAGAUUGUGAGCUCUGGGAGGAUAGAAAUAGAUUUUUCACUCUCAGCUCCUUUCUAUCAUAGCACCUGACAGUUCUCGCAUUCUUGAGCAAUAGCAGAAGCUUAAAGAACGUCCAGUCUAACGAGACACAGAAUCCGCGUCUAAUCGAAAAGGAAAUCUCGCGAGAAGUGGGUCUUGCCCCGUGGGCGACGGCCACGCAGACCGUUAUUCAGCCGUUAAACUGCUGUUGCCCCGCCCCUGCCUCCUGGCCGCUGGCGUGGAGCGAUUUCCCACCUUUUCUGAGGUUCCAGAAGCUUUUGUUGGCUCUUUCUGCUGCCCUAAUAGAUGGAAGGUGCCCCGGUUUCUCGUUGGUCUUUUAAAGCUUCCAUGGACCCCUGAUCACUACUUGAGGAGAAUUUUCCUGUGGAUUCAACUGACUAGCUAUUGUGAUGUAAGCAGUUUGAGGUGACUGGCCCAGCAGGAGUGAGAAGAAUUUAUCUUCAGCAUAAACUUCAUUAUUCUACAGUGUUUCUUCAUUUGCCUGAGAGGCUCCAGGUUACGUACAGCUGGGACUGCUGCUACCUGAUUGCAAGAAUUAUAUAAGACCAAGAUAAUGAAGGCUAGAUUUAAAAAACAUAAAGCCUAAACCUGUGUGUGCUAUGGUAAAAACCUGCAUUCCAUGAGGCAAAGCUUGAGUGGAUAAUGGACAUCUUUCAUAUUCUCCGGCUCAAUGAAUUGAAGCAUUCUCAUCUUUUGAAUCCCUCUACUCCAAAGAAGAAGCCAGCAGUCUUGUCCGGGACCCAGCCCAGUACCCAAGGCUCAACUCCACAUCACUUCCAGGUUCCUGGAAACCAAAGUGAAAAGGGAAACAAUCAGCUACAAGAAACAGUAUUGCACCAUGGUUACAAGAGCAGGUUUUGGCGUAAGACAGCUACUUCCUGACUGCAAGACCUCAGCUGACACAAGGAGGACCAGUGGGUACUGCAAAGAGGCCAGCUCCAGCCCCAGCCCAACAUGGGAAGCAGCUCAGUGCAUCAGUAAGGGAGCAACAUGAAAACACCUCUCAGAUCUUCUGGUUCUGCUGCUUACCUGCUGUGUGUCCUUGAACGAGCUACUUUUCCUGUCUUCUGUGGCUCUGCCUGUUCCCCAAGGAACCACCACUACAUCAAUAUCCUUGGAAAACAAAGAGGAAAAUACAAGCAGCAGUGCUGUUACCAUGAAUGACAAGAUAAAGAUGCCCUUGAUUUCCAGCACCGCCACCAUUCAACCAUCAACUACGGGUUCCGAACACUGUGAGAAGAAGAAAGAAAGAAAGAAAAUGGAAAGAGAGAACAGAGAAUUCAAGUAGUGGGAGCUCCAGACAGUCUACAGGAGUCUUGAAGAAAGCGUUCAUGGUAUCGACACCGAUGAAGGUAAACCUUUCUUCCUCCGUGGCCUGAGCAGUCAGCUCAGCCUGCUGUCACUUUGGAGUCAGACACAAAAGAAAAUUCCUCCCGUAGCCCUGUGACUUAGGUCUGUGUGACCUUGAGCAAAGUUAACUUCUGGGAACCUUGGUGUCCUGAGGAAAUGGGCAUCAUAGCUCCUUGCAGGAGCUUGCACACCUAAAUGAAGGGUGCAAGGCUCACAUGAUCUGAGCAGCCUAGGGAUCUGACCCAGAAUCUGAAGCUAAGCCAGUAGACCCUUGACACUAGCUGUGGGCCCUGGACAGUUGCCCGUCCAUGCCUCAGUUUUCUUGUCUAUGAAAUGGGAAUAUUGCUACCUGCUUCAAAGGGUCCUGAUGGAGUUUAGAAUAAGCCAAUAGUACAAAGUACUGAAACAAUGCCUGGCAGAAAAGUGCCGUAUGAGCAUUUGUUAAAUUAAAACUUAAUAUGAAAAGGCAAGUGUUUUCUCAUAUCCUCAUAAGAGGG